UACGUAGGUGGCAAGCGUUGUCCGGAAUUAUUGGGCGUAAAGCGCGCGCAGGCGGCCUUUUAAGUCUGAUGUGAAAGCCCACGGCUCAACCGUGGAAGGUCAUUGGAAACUGAAAGGCUUGAGUACAGAAGAGGAAAGCGGAAUUCCACGUGUAGCGGUGAAAUGCGUAGAGAUGUGGAGGAACACCAGUGGCGAAGGCGGCUUUCUGGACCGGUAUUGACGCUGAGGCGCGAAAGCUAGGGGAGCAAACGGG
rnacentral:rRNA from 1 species